GAUGAACGCUGGCGGCGUGCCUAAUGCAUGCAAGUCGAGCGAACAGACGAGGAGCUUGCUCCUCUGACGUUAGCGGCGGACGGGUGAGUAACACGUGGAUAACCUACCUAUAAGACUGGGAUAACUUCGGGAAACCGGAGCUAAUACCGGAUAAUAUAUUGAACCGCAUGGUUCAAUAGUGAAAGACGGUUUUGCUGUCACUUAUAGAUGGAUCCGCGCCGCAUUAGCUAGUUGGUAAGGUAACGGCUUACCAAGGCAACGAUGCGUAGCCGACCUGAGAGGGUGAUAGGCCACACUGGAACUGAGACGCGGUCCAGACUCCUACGGGGGGCAGCAGUAGGGAAUCUUCCGCAAUGGGCGAAAGCCUGACGGAGCAACGCCGCGUGAGUGAUGAAGGUCUUCGGAUCGUAAAACUCUGUUAUUAGGGAAGAACAAAUGUGUAAGUAACUAUGCACGUCUUGACGGUACCUAAUCAGAAAGCCACGGCUAACUACGUG
rnacentral:rRNA from 1 species